AGCUUGUCCUGUGUAAGUAAUAAGGAAAAAAUAUUUUUGAAAAUUCCUAUUUUCUAGCUUAUGAGAAAUUUCAAGAUUAGCAAUGUCAAAACAAUCAAUUCACUCUUACUCUUUUAAAAUCAAGUGAACUUUAUUCACUGCAGCUGUCAGGAUAAUAGUUAGGUUCACUAAAACCGGUUCAUUUGAACAGCAAAGUAAAACACUACAAAUUGGCUGCACUCAUUUAUUUAGUUGUGAUUUCUCUUAUUGUUCACCUGCUUGAUGCCAGGCUUUGUAUUAUGUUCUAGGUUUACAAGAAUGUGGUUUUAAGGAGGUCAGUUUUGGGACUGUCUUAAAGGAUAUGGAUGUAAAAACAAAAGUAAACAAAGAAUUACUUUAUGGUGGAGACUGCUGUUCUGAAACACAGUUGAGAAAGAGGUCAGCUCUUCUGGGGAAAGUACCAAAAAGCCUCCUGGAGGAAGUGACAUUUGGAUUGGAUUUUAGAAGAUCUUCACACCUAUGGUUCCUUCUCACCACUGUCUCUGCAAAGAAAAUUCCCAUGACACCUACUCUUGUCCUCUGUGAAGUUGCACUGUGCUUCAGCUGUUUUUUUCACUUAUCAUUAUAUGAAAUGAUCUAGAACAUAAGCUCCAUGAGAACAAGGAUGUAGCCUGUUUAUCACCCAUUAUCACCUGUACCAACCAGCACUUGGAACUUAGCAGGGGCUUUAUUAAUAUAUGCCAAAUAAAAGAAUAAAUGAAUAGAAUAAUUUUAAUUGUCACUUUAUCAACUGUAAUUCAGGAUGUUUUCAUCUGUCUUAUUGACUAGUGAGAAUGAGAUAAGAUAUCUUUGAAGACUAUAAAAUAUUGCAAAUUAUUAUUAUAUUCACAAAGAUAUAUGGGUUGAUGUCUGUUUGAAAACAAAUGGUCUUGAACUCUACAGGUUUUUAAUGGUGAAUAUUACUGAAAUCUCUGAUUUUCUUCCCCAAUAGGAAGAUUAUCAUACUGAAAUAUUCAUUUCUGAACCUGAGCAGUUUGACAAGUUUUUCUUGGUUUACUCUUUUCUUUCUAGGUUCUUAUACUGUAUGUACUAUAUGUGCUAUACAUUUGGCUCUCUCAAUCAGCAGGUUCUACAUCCACAGAUUUAACCAACCAUGGAUCUUAAAGAUUUUAAAAGAAUUCUAGAAAGUUCCAGAAGCAAAAUUUGUGUUUUUCACAUACAACUGUUUACACAGCAUUUACAUUGCAUUAGGUAUUAUAAGUAAUCUAGAAAUGAUCUCUCUGUGUGUUUUAUUUACUGUUUCUGCAGAUAUUUAGGGCAUAAAUGUAUGAUCUUACUUGAUUCUAGGAGAAUAUAGACUGAUGCUGUAUUCAAUAGGGGAUAAAAAUGUCUUCUUUUAGGAUAUCAAACUGAAAUUCAGUAGCUUUGUUUCAUGGAGAUUUGGUUUGAAACUUCUUUGUCAGAAAUAUUCAACAUAAUUUCUAAUUUUUCAGAGUGGAAACUUUCUAAUUUUUCAAAGCUAUAAAGUUGGGUAUAUUAUUUUUUCCUCACACAAGUCAGAAACUUUGUAAAUUUACAUGAAAUUUAUUUGUCCAUUUAGUCCUGACUUUGACACAUUUAGAGUGAACUUAUCCCCCAAUUUUUUUGAGUGACAUACUUGCAGAUGUUUUUCACAUUUGAUUUUUGGCUCCUUUGCAAGCUCAGCAGCUGUACGCUUGCAAGCUAAGCCUUGUUUGCCUGAAUGUGCCAAAGGGAUGCAGGGGCAGAAUCAGUGCUAGCCAGCCUAAUCUCCAGUAGGAAUGUUUUGGGGAACUUGAUACCUGUUGUUGCCAUUGUGGCAUCAGCUCAUCUCCACAUCAUCCCUAUGACUCUCAUUUUCCUAUCAUAAUCUAUGGACAUGUUAAGGCCACAUUUCCAUCACCCCAUACCUAUUAUUCCCUUCUUAUGACUCCUUUGAGGUCUGAGCAUGGUCUCAAAUGGAAGUUUGGCAAAACCAG
rnacentral:lncRNA from 9 species